rnacentral:rRNA from 1 species
GGACCCGCACAAGCAGUGGAGUAUGUGGUUUAAUUCGACGCUACGCGAAAACCUUACCAGGUCUUGACAUCCAACUAACGAGGCAGAAAUGCAUUAGGUGCCCUUCGGGGAAAGUUGAGACAGGUGGUGCAUGGUUGUCGUCAGCUCGUGUCGUGAGAUGUUGGGUUAAGUCCCGCAACGAGCGCAACCCUUGCUGUUAGUUGCUACGAAAGAGCACUCUAAUAGGACUGCCGUUGACAAAACGGAGGAAGGUGGGGAUGACGUCAAAUCAUCAUGCCCUUUAUGAUCUGGGCUACACACGUACUACAAUGGCCAAAACAAAAGGAAGCGAAAGAGCGAUCUGGAGCAAAUCCUCCAAAAAUGGCCUCAGUUCAGAUUGCAGGCUGAAAUUCGCCUGUAUGAAGAUGGAAUUGCUAGUAAUCGCGAAUCAGCAUGUCG